UAUUGAACGUCCUGAUCCAGAAGUAAAAACAUAUAACUAUGCUGGAAUAUUAUUAAUAGUACUAAGUCAUUGGUGUUUAUAAAUUUUCGGUCGUUGGAUGAAAAAAUAUACGGUUAGGAUGAUAAUGAUUUUCUUGGUUUUAAUUGGCGGUUGUUGGAAUAGCAUGAUUUAAGGGACGAAAAUGGUCAAAAAAAAUAAUAUCUAACGAUGAAAAAAUUGGUACCAGCAAGUGGUGCUAUUGAUAGUAUAUAUUAUAGCGGGACUUCCUUAUAUAGAUAUAUAUGGAUAAGGUUU
rnacentral:lncRNA from 1 species